GUGAACAGAAUACUUGCCAACAUCACACAGCUACUAAGCGGGCAGAUCAAGGAUCAAACUCCUGCUUCCAACUUCUUCCUGGCCCCUGGACCUUAACUCAAGGCUCAGUUUAGCCUCAGCUGGUGACAGCUGGGCUCCAGGAUCUGCAAAGGCUCCCCCAGUCCAUCUGACCACAAGAAUUACCCAGGCCUGGGGACACUUGUAAGAAUACUCACCUGAACCUGCAGAAUCACAGCUCCAGAAGAUGAACCUGGGAUUCUCAUUCUGUUUAUUUGUUUGUUUAUUCAAGGGUCCCAGGUGAAUCUUAUCACCAAAUAAGUUUUGGAAAUACAUUUCUAAGGGACUCCUUCCCAAAGGAGCUUCCCAGAACAGAAAGGUCAAAGAGGAGGCAAAAACAUGAUUGUAGUGGGCCUCACUGUCUCUAUCAGCUGUGCAGUAACUGGAACUGGACCAUUCUGAAUGAAGAAUCUGUGGUUGAGGGGAGAGUGUGAGUCUACACACACUAUGUGAUAAAGGUAGACAUGAACAUCAAAUGUAGAAACCCCCAUAGGAAUCAGAAAUUAUGGAAUUCUCCUGGCUGCCCGCUUCAGC
rnacentral:lncRNA from 10 species